GCUCUCGGGUGACGAGCGGCGGACGGGUGAGUAAUGUCUGGGAAACUGCCUGAUGGAGGGGGAUAACUACUGGAAACGGUAGCUAAUACCGCAUAACGUCGCAAGACCAAAGUGGGGGACCUUCGGGCCUCAUGCCAUCAGAUGUGCCCAGAUGGGAUUAGCUAGUAGGUGGGGUAAUGGCUCACCUAGGCGACGAUCCCUAGCUGGUCUGAGAGGAUGACCAGCCACACUGGAACUGAGACACGGUCCAGACUCCUACGGGAGGCAGCAGUGGGGAAUAUUGCACAAUGGGCGCAAGCCUGAUGCAGCCAUGCCGCGUGUGUGAAGAAGGCCUUCGGGUUGUAAAGCACUUUCAGCGGGGAGGAAGGCG
rnacentral:rRNA from 1 species